rnacentral:lncRNA from 1 species
CACUCCUUGAUGGUUUGCGCGAUGCGUUUUACGUAAAGAAUCACGGACUCGAUGCAGCCAAUCACUGCUGAGAGCGCGUUGAUCGACACAACAGAAAAUGUCGGAAAGCAGCGCGGAAAUCACAUUCAAAAAGGUAAGAGAAAGUUGCCAAAAUACUAUUCAUUGUUCUAUGUUGUGAGUCACAUCAUUUCGACUAAAGCAAGAUCACAACCCUCAUUUUGUAACUAAAGAAAGAUCACAACCCUCAUUUUCAAGUUAGACUGAGCGGACUGUAUGGAGCAAAUUCAGCGGGGAGACGGUAAGCAAACUCCUGUCAAGCUUCUUCAAGGAGGAGAAAACUAAAGUCGGUGCCGAUGCUGUCCUCCUUAUGGCAGAGAUGCUACAUGUGUUUGUUCAAGAAGCUGCGCAAAGAACGAUAAAACAGGCUGAGGCAGAGGACUGUGACAGAAUUGACAUAGAACACUUUGAGAAGAUCCUGCCUCAACUGCUGUUGGAUUUCUAGUAUGACUUCAGGCCAGAAGAUGGCGCCAGAGAGCUAUCCAGUCCUCCAUUCAGAAUUCGAGAGAUUGACCAACUCUUGGAGGACAAUGGAAGUAAAGAAAAAGGCUUCUGUUUUGUUUGUAAAAGUAAAGAAGCACUUUAUGUACUUACAUUGCCCUCCAAGAGUGGCUGAAUCUCCUCUCUACUUUUUAAUUCAUGCACCUUGGUUGGAGAGAGGAAGGGGCAGUGCUCCCUUCCCCCAGUCCUCCAUUCAGCCCAUGUAGGAUAUUAUAUUCUAAUUAGUCCUUUGAGUUACAUUGCACACGGUCUCUAAUGAACGCUGUACAUUUUGUUCUGUGGUUUUGCCUCAGUUUGUUGUUUGAAACGAUUUGAAACCAUUGUUAACUAAUAAAAGUUGUGUGCUUUUGUUUAUUACAUCGGUCUGUGACACCUAUUUUCUGGGGGAAACGUGUAUUGUAAACCUAAAAGUGCUUUAUUGUAAUCAGUUGUGUGAUAGGAAGUCACAUCUAGUACUCCAGCAGCAUUGGGGGACGAUCUCGUGUUUGACAAUAAAACAUAUACAGUGACCUUAUUGGGACAGCACUUUGGAUUUGAAAUGAUACAAUCACUAUGAGGUUAAGUUGCAGACGGCCGCUUUAAUUUGAGAGUAUUUUCAUUCAUAUCAGGUGAACCGCUUUGAAAUUAGUGGGGGUUUUGUACAUAGCUCCCCCUUUUGUAGGGGACCAAAAGUAUUGGGACAAAUUCAGUUGUGUAUUAAAGUAGUCAAAAGUUUAGUAUUUUGUCCCAUAUUCCUAGCACUCAAUGACUACAUCAAGCUUGUGACUCAAACUUGUUGGAUGCAUUUGCUGUUAGUUUUGGUUGUGUUUCAGAUUCAUUUUCUGCCCAAUAGAAAUUAAUGGUAAAUAAUGCACUGUGUCAAUUUGGUAUCACUUUUAUUGUAAAUAAGAAUAGAAUGUUCCUAACACUUCAACAUGAUUAUGGAUGUGACCAUGAUUAUGGAUGGCCCUGAAUGAAUCGUGAGUAAUGAUGAGGUUAAAGUGCAGACUGUCAGCUUUAAUUUGAGGGUAUUUUCCACAUGUGGAUGAUACCAUGAUUACGUAUGGUCCUGAAUUAAUCAUGAAUAAUGAUGAGUGAGAAAGUUAGACGCACAAAUAUCAUACCCCUAACAAAUGCUAACAAUAAUAAUACAAUAAUGGGAGGUUAGCACUUUUCUUUGGGGG